CAGCCGUAAACAAUGUGCGUUAGGUGUGUCGGUAACCACGUGUUACUGAUGCGCCGAAGAGAAAUCGUGAAACGCACCACCUGGGAAGUACGGUCGCAAGGCUGAAACUUAAAGGAAUUAGCGGGGGAGCACCACAACAGGUGGAGCCUGCGGUUUAAUUGGAUUCAACGCCGGACAUCUCACCGGAUAAGACAGCUGAAUGAUUGUCAAUCUGAAGGUUUUACAUGACUAGCUGAGAGGAGGUGCAUGGCGUCAGUGACU
rnacentral:rRNA from 1 species